CUGAGCCUCGUGUAUCAUCUCAAGGAAGGGCUGGAACAUGGCGUGGAAGUUCAGGGGCUCGUACGGAGAGAAGGGCAUCAAGCUGCGGACGAUGCGGGACUUGGGAAAGAAGAAGUGAGGCCUCCGGUGGGGCAGGCUGAAGGGCAGGUAGUGGUAGGUAUCCUGGGGCUCCCGGGUGAAGAACCUGUCCUGGAAGAGCUCGUCUAUGAUGCUGGACGCGCGGCUGAAGUGGUCCUGCAUGACAUCCAGCAUGUGCGUCUGCUGCCGGUCGUUCUCCAGCAGGGAGUCGAUGCGGUCACCAUUCAUCCAGAAGUAGAAGGGCGAGCUCUGGUUCAGGAACUCCUCAAGCUGGGACAGCCAGCAUGGGCACAGUUAGGAGAAGCUCACCAAGGCCACGGCCUCCUGG
rnacentral:lncRNA from 1 species